UGGUAGAAGAGUACCCGCUUCACAUGGAAACGAGUCACACAGCACUGGACACUAUUAUUUUCUUCUUUUACAGAGCCACUGUCAAUCAAGGUGUUCUCAGGAACCACCUAGUCGAGCUUCUGCAAGCAGCAGAUAAGUAUGGUGUUGAAUCACUUAAUUCGAUUUGCGAACAAUAAGUUCUGCAGUCGCUUAGUCCUACCAAAGUUCUAGUUACCUUUGUUAUUUGCUGGAGACACAACUCUGAUGUUGUGAAAGAGAGUAAUUAACUAUGCGACCAAGGAAUUGGAUGAUGUAUCCGCUCUUGAAGGGUACGACACAUUCUCCAAAAAUGUCCAAAUGCAGUUAUGGAGCUUUAUGAUGGGGUAUUGAAACGGUUAAAGCGUAAACGUCCUCGCCAAGAUACCUUGUCAACAGUUCAAGCAUGCAACUGGACAGAACAGAGCUGAACAGGAUUAUUUUAAAUGGUCACAAAUGAAGAGUGGCGGAGCUAACAGGAGCGACUGCAAGCAGGAACAUGAAUAAAGCUUCCUACAUUAUUCUCCUGUCACCAAAUAUCAUCGGGUUUUGUUUGUUACGGUGUUGAUCAGGGUUGUAUAGUAAUGCUACAGUAAUGCUAUAGAAAUUAAUCAAAUUUAAAUAGGGUACUCCAAUUAGCUGGGUUUGUCAUGGUGUGUUUCAGUGCUUGCCAGAUUUCUAUUACUUGCCACUGCCACUAAUGAAGUACUGUGCAUGCAAGUUUUAGUUGCAUUUGAGCUCUUCUGUGCGACUUCGUACCGAAUGCAUUACAUUCAGAACUUUGGACCAAAUCUGGACAUUGCCCAUGUCAAGAUACGAAGACUAGGGACGAACUCAGAGCUUCUUUAAGACGGAAGUGAAGUUUGUGUCAGAAAUCGCCUUUACUGCAUCUCGUGGUAUUCUAGAAAGGUUAUGUGCAUACUUAUUCAAAUAUUUUACAUGAUUUUAGGGUGAUUUUUAAGCUUUGCCUGUAGCUUCUUGACGAUACCAUUGCCGAGCUUAGCAACCAGUGUUGGGUCAUCCUUGAGGAAAUCGUCGUAGCCAUUUAUUUCUGCGAUGUCACUGUAAUUGUUCGCAACAAAACUUAUGAUUGCAUGUACAAGCUGCUCAGCAUGGCAUUUGCUGCCAAGGAGAAAGUAUUGGAAAAUGCGCUCAGGGUGGAUGUUCGUCAUCAUCUUCUCUUGGCAAAGAUUGUGGAGUAAUGAGAUGCCGUAAGUGUCAGAGGCGCGAAGCAAUUUGUCAGCAAAUGAAUCCAUGAGGUCAUCUUUGACAAACCCAGUGUAGAAGAAAUGGAUAAAUGCCUCCAAGCUUGCAUGGUCCAUGUCCAUUUUCACUGUCUGUGGGUUGACAACGUCCCGCGUGGCUGAGAACAAUGUCUUGAACGCAGUUGAUUUGCCCAUCUGCAAUGAUGUUCUUUAAGUCAUCCAUACGUUUCUAGAGGCUGGCCAAUGUUAUAGUAGUAGAUCAGUGAUUCUCAGCGAAGAAGGUUUCCAACCUCUCUCACUUGCUGGAAGCUUGUCAGAAGGGUGAAGUGUCGAGGAUUUCCGGUCAGUCGUCUCAGAACGAUGUGACGAACUAGAAAAGGUGUGGGGACAUUAGAGGUAGGUAUUGAAUAGCGCAAUGAGUGGUGUUUGUGGUUGGUGCUUACCAGGGUGGAUUUGUGUGCGUGGACUAGCCUUCCGUCAUUUGCCUCCAAAAUGACGUCUGUGUGCGGAGGUAGCAUGGUUUCUGGAUCCCACGUGGUGAUGAAAUUCUGCUUCUCCAUUAUCUUUUGCAACUGACUUUGCACGUCGUUUAAUUCGAUACUAGUGCACAGGCUAGGUAGGAACUUCACCAUUUGAGAUCAUCAGUAUUUUACCAAGUUCUAAGUACCUGCUGGUCAGGAUUGUUAUGUUAGUAGAGAAACAAUAGUUUCAACAGAAAUAGCUUACCUGCUGCGUAUCAACUACAUCUCACUCUGAUGAGAGCUUAUUCUAGCCAGUUUUCAAACGAUUCAUUGUUAACAGUCCAUUGGUGUUCUAUUCAUAGAGUUUAAGAAUUGUUAAUGCUUCAAAGAGCUACGAAUAAUUAGGCCCGAGUAUAUGCUUGAUAGCCUCGGCAGUGUAUGCCAUCGCAAGCCGUCUACUAUCGCUAUCCAUCAUGAUCUAAAUGCAAUUCUGACACAGUCAAGUUUUCCUUAAAAGUAUUCAGUUACGUGUGAGCUGUGCUGAACAGAAUUAUCUUGCACGUGCAUGGGCUGCAGGAGAUACGGAUGGCUUGGAGAGGAUCGGGAAGCACUUACGAGUGUUACGGGAGGAGCCGAAUGCGAACUCGGAUUUCUGAGGGUUUCGGGAGGGUGGAAUGAUUCAACCGGUAUGAGAGUCGUAAGAGAAUGAGAUGCAUGUCAACGGGCGUGAGCAAUGUUUUCGGUUGCGUCUGUUGGUAUGUCAAAGGUCACCAAUGGCGCUUAUCGGUUCGGCCGCAGCAGAAUCCCGAUAAAACUGUUGGGGUGUACGAGGGUGGCAGAAAGUUCCAGGUUUGAGAAAAAUGUUUUUGGUGCAGUGCUGUAGAUCAGCGAGACUGGCAAACUUAAAGAAAGUUUUGUUCUUCGCCUUAGCUUGGAGUGACCUCUUUUUUCUCCUCUUUCUGGUUACCUUAAAAUCACUGGACGACGCCAUCCAGGACCUCAUGGACCUGAAACGCCGAUUUAAUCCAUUAUUUCUUUUUCUUUAAACAUUGGUGUACCUUGACAGUAAAAAUCGACGAAGGGCUGGCCGGUGGGUACGAGUGAAAGAAGUAAACAGCUCUGAUCCACAUGGAUCAACUUGCAAACAACAGUUUCUACCAUGCAAAUUCAGAAAGGUGAAGAUAAUGCGUUGAAAACUUUUUGUAUCACAUUACAAUUGAUAUUUUAUAUAAUGUGAUGUGCCCAAAUCACUCAUGAAGCGGACUGAUCGCCCAGGCUGAUGAGGACACUGCUAAAUUCUUGACGUUGGUCUAACGCUAUAAUUCCAUGAGGCUGCUUUAGUUGAACCCAGAGACCUCUUGAGGAAAGUUUGCUUCGAAAUUUCAAUCAUGUCAAUAUCAACUAGGUGCCACUUAGAUAAUCGUUGCCAUUAGACAUAAGCAGUUAGUAGCAGAACCAACGGAGAGAAAGGACAAUUGUUCUAGAGGUUAACGUGCUCUUUCCCAUUUUGAUGCUUGUUAGAUCUUCGUUUCGGCUGUUUGCAUUACUUCUAACUUAUGGAUGCUGAGUUGGUACAACAGAAGCGUAAAUACUUUAGUAUGAAGUUUGAAUCGAUCCAGUCAGCAAAAUCCUAUUAGCCCAGGUAGGAUUUCAGGAUGAGCCACAUAAAUUUAGAAAAAGAGUAUCACAUGAACGAGUUCAUUUGCUUACAGACAACCAAGAAUAAUGCAAUUCGAAAUAAAGCCCCAUUUCCCAAGUUGGCACCAGGAUACCAAGACAAGUUGCUUUGUCUUGGUACCCUGGUACUUUAUUUUAUUUUUAUUUGUACUGUGAACAUAUAAAAAAACCAUUUCCCAAGUUGGUACCAAGUACCGAGACAAGAAAAAGGUAUGUAUUUUACUGUGAACAUAUAGAAAAUCAAAAUGGGUUAUACUGAUUUUAAAGGUAACAAAUCAUGCUGCAGUUUAAAAAAGUAUCCCCCAGUGCAAAUCUUAUUUGAAUAGGUAAAAUGUUAGUUUUAUAAAAAUAAAAAUAAAAAGUUAAUAAAACCGAAUACAUUACUUUUUAUAAGUAUGUUUUUUGAAUUAAGAAUUCAAAAUCAAUUUUUUUGAAUGUUGAAAUAAAAUAAAAUAAAAAUAAGGAGGCAAGAUAGAUUCUUUGAGCUU